UACGUAGGGCGCAAGCGUUUGUCCGGAAUUAUUGGGCGUAAAGAGCUCGUAGGCGGUUUGUCGCGUCUGCCGUGAAAGUCCGGGCUCAACUCCGGAUCUGCGGUGGUACGGGCAGACUAGAGUGAUGGUAGGGGAGACUGGAAUUCCUGGUGUAGCGGUGAAAUGCGCAGAUAUCAGGAGGAACACCGAUGGCGAAGGCAGGUCUCUGGGCAUUAACUGACGCUGAGGAGCGAAAGCAUGGGGAGCGAACAGG
rnacentral:rRNA from 1 species